CACGUAGGAGGCGAGCGUUGUCCGGAAUCAUUGGGCGUAAAGAGCGCGCAGGCGGCCCGGCAAGUCGGGUGUGAAAUCCCGGGGCUCAACCCCGGGACUGCACUCGAUACUGCCGGGCUAGAGGUAGGUAGGGGAGAUCGGAAUUCCUGGUGUAGCGGUGAAAUGCGCAGAUAUCAGGAGGAACACCGGUGGCGAAGGCGGAUCUCUGGGCCUUACCUGACGCUCAGGCGCGAAAGCUAGGGGAGCAAACAGG
rnacentral:rRNA from 1 species